ensembl:lncRNA
CUUCCACCAUGGCACCAAACAUAGAUCAACACUCAGUAUAUAACAGAGAUCAGAUCAGCGUGGAAGAACAACCAGCAAGACCUGGACUGUGUCAAAAUUGUUAAGUUUUAGUUCACCAAGAAACCAGUGGACUUUUGCCGUACUGCUGCUUAAAAGAAACAUUACCAUGAAGAUGUGGUCUAAAACUAGCGAGCUACAUAACUUCAUACAUACAUACUACUAUGAAAGAACCUGGCAAACACACCACCAACAGCCCAGUUGGCACUGUUGAAAGCUUGCUAAAAUGCUAACUGGUGUCUUUUAGCGAUAUUGUUUAGCGAUGUCGUGGUGUGAAGGCUUUUCUUACAUUUUUUUUCGAACUUUAAAGAACUACAUAGUGCAUAUCGUGGAAGGCUAGUGGGAACAACAGGUGUGUUUAUCUGUCCUACACAUGACCAUAUUCCAUCAAAAUUAAGUUGAAGAUUAUAUCAAAAGUGGCUUCUCACAAAAAAAUAUGGUUUAAAACUAACGCUGACUACAAACCAUCAAACACUAAUUGACCUGAACUACGAAAGACUUUUGUCUCCUCACAACCUUGAGAGAACAAAACUCACCUCUUUCUCAGCAGCUUAGUUUUGUACAUUUUGGUCUGCUACGCACUAUGUCUUUUAAACAUAGCACUCUUUUAAACAGUCACAGCCUUUCAUCCUUCUAGGGGGGUCUUGGUGUCAACAUCUCUAGAAAAGGAUCUACUCAUUCAUGGAAUUAUGGGAGUGAUACAGUCACUGAUUCACCAUGAGAUACCUUCUAGAAAAUUACUAAUUAACAAAAACAACCAUCUCUCAUCUCGUAUUUGAAGGACCCAAACACACGCUGCAGACACCAAUCUCACCCUACGAAGAGGAAACACUUACAGUAUCAGAUUGACUGGAUUCCCUAAAGCCUUGGCCUCCUCAAAACUGAAUCUCUAUUGGCUCACUUUAAAGGGCAGUGAGCUACCGGCAGCUGCCAGCCAGCACGCCUCCCCCACUGGAGCUGGAACAAUUAUACAACAAUGUCCCCAUGUCAACUGCUUCAGGUUUCUAUUCUCAAAGAGACCACAGAACACUGCGCCCUGGAGAACAUGUCAAACAGAACAUACAGCAGUGCCCUGGAGAACAUAUCAAACGGAACAUACAGCGCUGCUCUGGAGAACAUGUCAAAUAGAACAUACAGCACUGCCCUGGAGAACAUAUCAAAUAGAACAUACAGCACUGCCCUGGAGAACAUAUCAAAUAGAACAUACAGCACUGCCCUGGAGAACAUGUCAAACGGAACAUACAGCACUGCCCUGGAGAACAUGUCAAACGGAACAUACAGCACUGCUCUGGAGAACAUGUCAAAUAAAACAUACAGCACUGCCCUGGAGAACAUAUCAAAUAGAACAUACAGCACUGCUCUGGAGAACAUGUCAAACGGAACAUACAGCACUGCCCUGGAGAACAUGUCAAACGGAACACAGCGCCCUGGAGAACAGGGCUGGGUAUUGGCACAAUUCCAUUUCAUCCGAUUUGAUUCGAUACCGAUGGGAAUGAGAUAUGAAAUACUAUAUAGCAGCUUUCCAUACUUAGAGAGAUGUUUUAAAAAGAUCUAGAGAAGGGUGACCAGAUUCCCCCGUUGUGAAUUAUGAGUCCAUGUGUAAAUCGUGUUCCUAUAACCAGUGGUGGACGAAGUACACUAACUACGUACUUAAGUGAAAGUAUAGAUACCUUGUGUAAAAUAUUACUCCAGUAAAAGUAGAAGUAUGCACUUUGAAUUUCCACUUAAGUAGAAGUAUAAAAGUAUUUGCUUUUAUAUAUACUUAAGUAUUAAAAGUAAAAGUACCUUGAUGAAUUAUCUAAGCAUGAGCAUAAAACAUCCUCAAAAUGCUGCAGCGGCAUUGUAACGAAUUCAACAUAGCUCGCGCUCAACGAAUGAACGGAACUGACAAAACUGAAAGGACUUCAGAGCAAAUCGUGCGCUGAGCCCUGAUUGGUGUUAUUGUGCACUCGCUUUGACCUCUCAUUAUUUGAUUCGCUUUGGUAAAAAGGAACGAGAGGUUUUACUAAAUGUAAUGGAGUAAAAAGUACGAAUUUUCACUUUGAAAUGUAGUGGAGUAAAAAGUAUAAAGUCUCACCAAAUAAAAAAAGACUUGAGUAAAGUACAGAUACAUCUAUAUGUUACUUAAGUACUGGAACGAAUUACAUCUACUUCGUUACUGUCCACCACUGCCCAUAACACUUAUAUUAUUGCUCUUAACUCCGUUAUUAAAGUUUAAGGAAAGAGGAAAUAUGGGACAAAACAGGGACUGACAGCAGGGAUAAGCAGGACGUCCCUGGAAAAAACGGGAUGUGUGGUCACCCUAGUCUAAAAGGGAACACAACUUAACGAAUGCAGAAUAACUUGAAACAAACUGUGAAAACCACUAAAGAAAAGGCCAAAGGCUUGUAUAUCAAAUUCUAUUCAUCUGAGGCGUGCGUGGGAAUAGUUGGGUAAAAGGUUUCGUCAAAAAUCGACAAAAAAACUAUAUUUUCGCACACCUACUAGUAUGGAGAACAUGCUGUCCAGGACAACAUACUACCCUGCAUAACAUAUUCUUGUUACUUUGUAUAUAAUCAAUCUUUACUUGUACUGACAAUACAUUACACAGUGCAUACUCAAGCUAGUAGUGGUCAGAUGGAAACCUUUAUAUGCAGAUCUUCACUAUUGUAGAUAUAUUUUAUGUGAAAAUCUUCACUAUAGAAGAUGGGUUUGAAAUAAAAAAAUAUUUGCAAAUGUUCACAAUUAGAGAUAUGUGUUAUAUGAAAGUCCUCACUAUCAGAGAUGGUUUGAUAUGAACAAUCUGCAAUAUCAGAUAUGUGUUAAACAGCAGUCAUAUUUACAGAAGUUUGUUUGUCCGCAUGUCUGUAAUCCCAAAGGUUCCUAGGUUGGGUCGGCAGUUAAUCCACACUCUUAAAAGGCUACGCCGUUCGGGGACAUCUAAAUAUCCAUCAGGCUAACGCUGUGUGAAGUCAUCACAACCUUUUUCGUAUAUAACUGGGGUUGUAUAACUGUGCAUGCCAAGUCUUGCAUAUGUAUAUCUGUAUAUACUGUAUGCAUGAAUAUUGACACAAACUGUGUGUGUGUGCGUCUGUGUAUGUGAUAUAUAUAUUUAUAGAGAGAGCGAGAGAGAGAGAGAGAGAGAGAGAGAGAGAGAGAGCGAGAGAGAGAGAGAGAGAGAGAGAGAGAGAGAGAGAGAGAGAGAGCGAGAGAGAGAGAGAGAGAGAGAGAGAGAGCGAGAGAGAGAGAGAGAGAGAGAGAGAGAGAGAGAGAGAGAGAGAGAGAGAGAGAGAGAGAGAGAGAGCGAGAGAGAGAGAGGGGUAUUUCAGUGAGGCUCUAAGUAUAAUGUGAGAAAUUACCCGUCCAUUUUAAGAGCAUAAAGCAUGACCAACAGAAGGUGACCGUCCAACUCAAAAGCUUGAGAUCAGGCGCUGUAAACUACCCUACAAGAGCAUCAGUUUACUAUCCUUCUUAUCUUUGGCGUUAAAGCGACAGGCAGGGGAACUCUCUUUAUAAUUCACACAUAGACAUUUCUGUAAAAACAGGAGGGGUGGGGGAGAUUUAAAAAGCAAAUAUAUAUACAGUAUAUGACCUGUCAUCAUCAUCUGUUUUACAUAAUGCAUUUAUUCUGAUUGCCCGCUACCCUAUCCUGAUUGCCCGCUACUCUCAGGAAGGCUUGCACAACUCCAUAUUUAACCCCAUGUUGCCACUUAUAACAUCAUAAGAGAACACAUAACACAUGUGGGUGCUUUGU